AAGUCGUAACAAGGUCUCCGUAGGGUGAGUUUUGAACGAUUCUAACUAAUAUUGAAUGCAUGCUAACAGAUUUCUAGUGAACCUGCGGAGGGAUCAUUACUGAGCGAGGGUCUCUGACCCGACCUCCAACCCUCUGUGAUUUAAACCUCUGUUGCCUCGGGGGCGACCCGGCCUCGCGUCUAGGGCCCCCGACGGACCAUUUCAAAACACUGCAUCUUUGCGUCGGAUCGAAUAAAGUCAAAUGAUUAAAACUUUCAACAACGGAUCUCUUGGUUCUGGCAUCGAUGAAGAACGCAGCGAAAUGCGAUAAGUAAUGUGAAUUGCAGAAUUCAGUGAAUCAUCGAGUCUUUGAACGCACAUUGCGCCCCUGUACUCUGGCGGGCAUGCCUGUUCGAGCGUCAUUUCACCAAUCAGGCCUGGCUUGGCAUUGGGUACCGGGGCGACCCGGGCCUCAAAAGUCGUCGGCUGGCAAGCUCUGAUCUCAGCGUCGUGAUUAAUCAAAUUCGCUUUGCAGAGGAGUGAGCCGUGCCGGUUAAAUACUAUCUAAAGGUUGACCUCGGAUCGGGUAGGAAUACCCGCUGAACUUAA
rnacentral:rRNA from 1 species